UCUCCUCAAAUUGUAUCAAUUUGGGGGGUUGUCAUUAAGUGACUCAAAUAAAUCUCGGCUGCCCUAAAAAUAAAAAAAGGGCGCCUUUAUUUCCCCCCACAUUUUCCCCUUUCCCUCAUAUUCCCCAACCCUUCACGCCCUUAACCCCUUUCUCCAGAAACCUCCGCCUUUAACACCCUUCUAGCAGUCCCCUCCCCCUACUUUUAGUAUUUAUCCAGUUUUGUAAAUCGGAUCUGGUAAAUCGGUAAGCUUCAACUGAUUUCAUUUUCACGUUUUGAUUUUUUAUUUGGCAAGAGAUUUUAAGUUCCCAGUUUGGGUUUAUAAAAUAUUUAGGCAUUUAUGCAGAGGGUUUUGGUGGCUUUGGAGUGAAGUGAAUCAACUCCUAGCCAUUGAAUCUUCUGUUGUGUCUGAAUCAGACGGUUAAAAAGUUAUUUGAAUCUUUUAAACGCCGCGAGGUGUGUUUUAUUUUUGUUCUGGUUGGCGAAAAAAGGGAGACACAGAGGUGCAAUCUUUAGAUCUGGCCUUCCGUCAUGCCAAAAGUUAAACGUUUCAAAAAUCCAUUAAAAUCAGCUCAUGGACCAUAUGAUGCUCCUCGGCGUUCUUCACCAUCAACAACUCCAGUCCCGUCACUUGUUAUAGAGCCCUCAAUAUCGUUACAAGCUCCCUCGCAUGCUCCUGCAAGUUCCUCAGUAGCUGAUGAAGUCCCACAACAAGAACAAGCUCCAAUUCAGCCUUCAAAUCUGAGUGCAAUGUCCACACACCAUCAUGGACGUGAAUAUACACAAUAUUGGAAAGUAGAGGCAAUAGACUCAAACAACACUACCAAGUACAUUAAGAUCAAGGUCAAUGAGGGUCAACAGCCUACCUAUCGGAGACCGCAUCAUUGUGGACUUUGAUAUCUACGAUGCAGCAUAUGGGGAAGUGCAAGGGUUGCUCGCCGGAUAUUGUGGAUUACUGGCUAUUGAUGGCAAUUUCUUCCCAAUUAAUUUUGAUAGGUGGUCAGAACCGUGAGGUAUUCCUAAAAUUUACAAGGAAGACUGCUUUGAAAUCAUGCUAAAGGUAUUAUACAUAUGUCUAUUUAUUGUAACUAGAUUUUUAUAUAUGCAUAGAAAACUAACUUUGUUUUUCUUUUUCAUUUGAAGUCCCUGUUCUUUUUUAGGACUACUAAUGCCAUUGCAUACAGAUAUUGCAGUGCUAGUUUGAAUAAGAAGUGGGCUACACAUAGACAUAGGUUGUGGGAUGAAUUUUAUAACCCGGCCAAAAGCAGAAUUGAACUUUUAAGCAAUGUGCCACCGGGUAUAAAUAGAGAUUAGUGGGCUUGUUGCAACAAGAGGUCACUCAUUUGAAGUCCCAAUUAGUAGACACCUUAACUGCACUGAAAGCUUACAUGAUAUCAAAGGAAGGAAGAGUUCCUGAGCAAUUUGUUAGUAUAUUUUCUCCUCAACCACAGAUAACUGAAUUGUCACGAGGAGAUAGUCCUCAUCUUGAUCAUAGCUAGAAAGCUUUAAGGAAGCAUUCGAAAUUUAAAUAUGGUAUAAUGGUAAGAUUUUUCAUCUAAAUAUUCUUUUUAUUGUUUCAAGCCUAGUGAUGAUGCAGAGAGUGAACUUAUCUCACUGGUUGAUGUAAGAGGAUCAUGGGGCAGCAGUUAUCAGAAUCACCAAGCAAAUACUUAGAAUGUUAUUUAUUUAAUGUGGAACCAAUGUUACUUUUAUGGAUUUUUAGUAGUAACGUGUAGGAGCUACUUUAGUUUAUAUUGCUUUAGUAUGAUUUGUAGUACUUGAAUUUGUGAAUGUUGCUAUUGUGGAUGUUUAAUGAAAUUUGAUUUCUAUUA